rnacentral:rRNA from 1 species
GCUUGUUGGUGAGGUAACGGCCCACCAAGGCGACGACGGGUAGCCGGCCUGAGAGGGCGACCGGCCACACUGGGACUGAGACACGGCCCAGACUCCUACGGGAGGCAGCAGUGGGGAAUAUUGCACAAUGGGCGAAAGCCUGAUGCAGCGACGCCGCGUGAGGGAUGACUGCCUUCGGGUUGUAAACCUCUUUCAGCAGGGACGAAGCGAAAGUGACGGUACCUGCAGAAGAAGCACCGGCCAACUACGUGCCAGCAGCCGCGGUAAUACGUA